rnacentral:rRNA from 1 species
UGAGGAAUCUUCCGCAAUGGGCGAAAGCCUGACGGAGCAACGCCGCGUGAAUGAAGAAGGCCUUCGGGUCGUAAAGUUCUGUCUUUUGGGAAGAAGUCUCUUUGGGUAAAUAAUCCAAGGAGGUGACGGUACCAGAGGAGGAAGCUCCGGCUAACUACGUGCCAGCAGCCGCGGUGAUACGUAGGGAGCAAGCGUUGUCCGGAAUUACUGGGCGUAAAGGGCGCGUAGGCGGGUAUUUAGGUCAGAUGUGAAAGCGCCGGGCUCAACUUGGAGAGUGCAUUUGAAACUGGAUAUCUUGAGGGCAGGAGAGGAAAGGGGAAUUCCUAGGGUAGCGGUGGAAUGCGUAGAUAUUAGGAGGAACACCAGUGGCGAAGGCGACUUUCUGGACUGUACCUGACGCUGAGGCGCGAAAGCAUGGGGAGCGAACA